rnacentral:hammerhead_ribozyme from 1 species
GCACUGUCGAAGAGUCUCACAAUAGGACGAAACGACCGUCCAGUGC